UGGCGGUUUGGCCGAGUGGUCUAAGGCGAUUGAGUACGUUCCAAUUUACUCAAGUAAUCCACCAUCACUCACUAACCAUUCCUUCAGCUCGAAAUCAAUUCUCUUCGGAGGCGCAUGUUCGAAUCAUGCAGCCGUCGU
rnacentral:tRNA from 1 species